UAAACUGAGGAAUGACCAAUUUCAGGCUACUGAAGUCAUCACUGAACGCUGAGCUGGGGGUAGAUGCCCAGUAAGCCCACUGUUCAUAAGAUGAGUGUAAAUAACAUCAAGAGAAACACAGUAGUAAAAUGUGGUAAAAUUGUUAUUUCAUUUACAAUAAGGUUGCAGAGGUUAAUAAAAUGUCAAAUUUCUUUGUUUUGGGAUAGAAUUCAAGUUGGGUUGAUGACGCUAGUUACUGUGUAUUGAGUUAUGACUUUGAUUGGCAGUUAUGCCAUUGGUUGAUGAAACAAAGAAAUUAGAUAGAAGAACUCAUGAAUAAAAACAAGAGCCGGUAUUUUUGAAAGAAAAGUUAAAUAGACAAAUCUCUGGCAAAUCUGACCCCCCCAAAGAGAGAGAGAAACACAUAUAUAAUGCUAUGCCAGACAAGGGAACACAACCACAACAUGGAGGAAAUUUUUAAAGCAUUUUUAAAUGUAAUGUAAAUAUUAGUUAGCAAAGUUACCAAAAUUAACUAAAGAGGUAAAACAAAAGAUAUAUCAAUAACCAUAGAAGAAAUGGAAAUAAUUGCCAAAAUUAUCCAGACCCUGAUGGUUUACAUAUAACCUAUCAUACCUUCAAGAAAAUGAUAAUACUUAAGUUAUUAAAAGUGUUUUACAUAUAUAAUAGCAAAAGAAACAAUUCUUCAUUUAUUUUACAAAUUGGGCAUAAUGCUAAUACCAAAAGUUGAAAAAAAUAAGCCCUAAACAUCUCACAUUUACAGAUACAAAAAUCCAACAAAAAUAUUGGUAGACCAAAAUCAGUGGUGUAUUUCAAGGUCAAAUGCACAUGACAAGUAGAUUUCUUUUUAGGAUUCAAAGUGUGGUUCAAUAUAGGGAAACCUAUUAAUAUGUUUUACUUUAUUGGUAGAGUAACAAAGAAAAAUCAUACCAACAGCUCAAAAGAUGCUAAAAGUGCAUCUAUUAAAAUCCAACACCGAUCCCUGCUAAAAAUACUUGGUGAACUAAGGUUAGAAGACAAUUUCCUUAAUUUAAUAAAUAUAAAUGACUAUAUGACCAAAUUAAUGGCGUUCUCACUAAAGUCAUGAGAAAAGAUAAAAGUACCCACCAUCGCCACUAUGUUUCAACAUCGUUCCGCAGGCUGUUUCACAAUUCAAUGCGAUAAGAAAAAUUAACAACAUUGGAAAGUAGAAAACACGUUUUUUGCAUACAUUAUUAUUUCACAAUGAGAAAACUCUCAAGAGGGUAAACCGAGAGCCAUUAGAGCUAAAAAGAGAUUUCACUAUGGUAGCAAGCUAUGAGAUAACUACAUACAAAUACACAGGCUUCUUGUAAAGCAGAAAUAACCAGUUAGAAAACAUAACAGGGAACAAAUCCCUUUCACAAGAGCAACUAAAAAGAGAGAACGACUUGGAAUAACAAGACAUGUGCUAUGCCUAUCUAAAUAAAAUUGUAUUCUUUAUAUAUUAAAAUAUAAAAGUAGUCUUAGAAAAAUGGAAAGACCUACCAAGUCUCUAAAUGAAAAAGUUUACUAUUUAACAGAUAUCAAUCCUUUCCCCAACUUCAUUGGUAAGCUUAAUGUAGUUCCAAUAUUAAUUUUUGCCAGUUCUUGUGUUUUUAUGUAUUUGCUUCUUAAAAGUGCCAAAUUGAUUCUAAAGUUUAUAUGGAAGGAUCCAUAGAUAAAAAUAUAGUUUAUAUGGAAGAUUAUAUAAGCAAGAAGUCAUUUUUAGAAAAGAAAUUCCUGAAGGUAGGUCAUCCCUGGUAGCUAUCAAAACAAUUAUAUUACUAUAUCUAAAUUAUGUUAGAAAAGUUAAUAAAACAGUAUGGUACUGGUAAAGUAAAAGAAAGACCAAUAAAACAGAAAAGAGAGCCUAAAAAUAGUCCUAGAUUUUGGAAGAAACUUAACAUACGGCAAAAGGAGCACUGAAAAUUAGAGCAAUUCAUUCACAUUAGAAAUUUUUCUACCAGUCAGAUCAACAAAGAUUAAAAAGUUUGAUAACCCCCUUUGUUGGCAAGGAAGUGUGGAAAUAAACAGGUUUUCUAACUGGUUAUUUCUGCUUUACAAGAAACCUGGACUAAUAUAAAUUAGUCCAACCUUCGUGGAGCAAUUAAGCAAUAUAUUUUAAAAUUUAAAAUACUCAUACCCUUUGAUACAACAAAUUCUAUUUCUAGAAAUUCCUUCAGAAAAAAAAAAACAGAAAGUCAGCAAUGGUGCAACUAUAAGAAUCCUCAUUAUUGUUUAAAAUAUCAAAAAAAAAUUGAGAAUCUAAAUAUCAAUGAAGAAAAAUAGGUUAAAUAAAUUAUCAUAAAUCUAUACAAUACCUCCAUCGGAAUGGAUGGAGAAAUCUGCCCAUUAUAUGUUUUAUGUGAAAAAAAGCAAUUUGCAAAAUAGUAUAGUAUGAUUCCAUUUCUGUUAUGUAUUGUGGGGGGGCAGAUAUACAGGCACAGAAUUAAAUCUAUUCAGAUAUGUACAAACUAUUUGUAUCUGGGGAUUGGAUUCUGGGGACUCUCUCUACUUUGUUCAUUUCUAUAAUCCUUGAAUCUUGGUACAAUCUGCACAUAUUUCUUUGAUUAUUAGAGAAAGCCUUUUUAAGUAUUUCUAUUUUUAGAAGCAGAGGUAAUUAAUACGUUUGAUUUUUUUUUUUUAAUCUCAAAAUACUGGUGCCGUGGGUGCAAAAAUCAUGAAAGUGUCUUUGAUCAUGACAAGAAUGGAUCAUUAAGCUUAACUGCUGUGACAACCUUUAGAAGAAGACGUUGAGAAUCCUUUCAAAUCCAGUACUGCCAGGAACAAUCUUUCAUCGGAAAAAGCCCAGGAAGCUACAGACUGAUGCAGCACAAAAUGGAGCUGACCUCAGCGUGCACCACUCUGGAGACGGGCCAUGCUCUGACUGAAAUGUGAAGGAAGCCCCUUCCCAUUCCUGUUUCCUUUGUCAUCUAAGCCUUUUGCCGAUAGUAUCUGUCUCCACAGGCCUAAGAUUUACAGAACGGCUGGGCGAGCUUUUGGGGAAAGCAGUGCUGAACCAAGGGCAGUCAUGCAACAGAGCUACAAUGGUGGUACCACAGACAGCUAACACCUCAAGAAAGGACCCUGUGUCUGGAAAGACUGGGAAAGGGAGUGCCUUGAGCAAAGAAUAUGGGAGAGAAUCUGGGUUUCUUUUCCUGUGUGUGUGUGUGUGUGUGUGUGUGUGUGUGUGUCCCUUCUCUCAGAACUUCCCAAGGGUGAUACCCUAGCAGAAUCAGUCAAAUGGCAUGAUCAGCUAAUACCCAAUAAAAACUUUGCUUUAUGGUCAAACAUUUUUUUAAUGGUUCUUGCGGUCCAAAGAGAAUUGGAAUAAAUCACUGGGUAAAUUUUCUCUUUUUUCACUCUCUUCUUCGCACCAAAAGUAGUACUGAUUACAGGAACUAUGUAGCAGCACAGGCAUCCAAGACUCCAAGAGAACCCCACCUAUCUGGCCAGAGGACCAAGGAGUCUCUGCAGGUGGGAGAAUGUGGGGGAAUCCUGGAUAGAAGGGAGUUAAAGAGGGGCGCCUGGGUGGUUCAGUCGGUUAAGCAUCCGACUUUGACUCAGGUCAUGAUUUCACAGUUCUCCAGUUAGAGCCCCACAUUGGGCUCUCUGCUGUCAGGGUGGAGCCUGCUUUUGAU